UACGUAGGGGGCAAGCGUUGUCCGGAAUCAUUGGGCGUAAAGAGCGUGUAGGCGGCUUGGUAAGUCCGCUGUGAAAGUCCAGGGCUCAACCCUGGAAAGCCGGUAGAAACUGUCAAGCUUGAGUCCGGAAGAGGCGAGUGGAAUUCCUGGUGUAGCGGUGAAAUGCGCAGAUAUCAGGAGGAACACCAAUGGCGAAGGCAGCUCGCUGGGACGGUACUGACGCUGAGACGCGAAAGCGUGGGGAGCGAACAGG
rnacentral:rRNA from 1 species